CUUGUACUGUUAUUAUUCAUUCAAUAAAAGCAUCUCUGGAUUUCUCUGGAACCUCUCUCUCUCCUCUUCCUUUUCUUGGUAUGUAGAUUUAGGGUUUCCGCCAAGUUUUCUUGUUUUUCCUUGAAGUUUCGUUUCUUGAGCUGAGUCUUGGCACUUUUCAGCUAUUUUUGUUGAUUUGGAAGUGCUUUUUGAAGGAAACUACUUUUUUUUAUCUGUUUUGACUACUAUCUAAUUGAACACUUGCUCCGGAGGCCUUUAAGACAUAGCUCUUUUUCACAACCGAGAAGGCAAGAAAUAUUGCAAAGGCAGCAAGAAGACUAACAGCUCAAUCUUCCCAAGAAACUGGAAAAACUAUACCCAUUUUGGAUAUCAGAUUGUUUGAAUGACGCGGGCAUUGAAGAAAUCGUGAAAGAAGCACAACACAGGUGGCUUCUUUUUUGUCAUUAAGUUGCAAAGGCUUUGAGAGUUUAGGAAGGAUGACCACGUGUGGAGUAAAAGGAAAAAGAAAGAUGCAAAGCCGGUGCAUGAGUUUAUUAAAAUUUCAAGGGAACAUGUAGGCAUAGUACUUCUUCACUAAAGGGAAGACAAGAGGAUAACGUUAGAUCACAUCAUAUAGAGUCAUGUUUUGAGUCUUACUCUUUUAUAUAUAUUUUUUCUAAUACAAACAAGAAAACCCAAAAGAUCAUAAACAUGACAAGAAGACAACCAAAGUAACCACGUAAUCUUCCCAAGAAGUUAGAAAAGUUGUACCUCUUAAUUGUAAGCGUGAUGUAAUUUUAACGAGUAUUUUAAUAUUUAUUUAAUUUUGCAUUGUUUCAUUUUUAUUGUGGAUCUUGCUGAUAAUUUUGAUAGCGCUACAAUUAAAAGUUUUCAUACAAGAUAUGAAAACCUGUUGUCUUAGAGUUGUUUUAACAACUAUAUAAUUGAAAUUUCAUUGGAAGAAGUAACAAAAAAUCUGUUUUUAUAUAGGUUUCUUUCCCACAUAAGUUCUUGUAUUGAUUCCAGAGGUUUUUUUUUUCCUUUGAAUUGAAACAAUCCAUUGCUACCCUAAAGGUGCUUAUCCCUUAGCCCUAAACAAAAAAUCUGUUUUUUAUAGGUUUCUUUCCAACACAAGUUCUUGUAUUGAUUCCAGAGUUUUUUUUCUUUUUUUGAAUUGAAACAAUCCAUUGCUACCCUAAAAGUGUUUAUCCAAAAUUUUGUUGCAUAAUUUUGCAAAAGCUUUAAUUUUGACUCAAGAAACUUGGUACAAGUGAAGGUGGGUUUACGGUUUUAGAUGUAGAAGUGAUACAUUUUGCAGUUACACUUGGUUAUAUUUUGGCUUUUCAAGACAUAUUUGGUGCUGCAAAAAUAGAUAUAAAUUUAAGUAAUGAGAAUGAAUUUUCAACUUUUUAUUAGGCAACAAAGUAUGAGAGGUAAAACUCUUUAGGCUACUUUACCUUUGUGGGUGGCACCAAAUAUGUGUUAAGAGUUUUACCUUUUAUAUUUUGUUGCCCUAUGAAGGGUUGUAAAUCCAUUCUCAUCAUUUGAGUUUAUGUCUAUUUUUGGUGCACCAAUUAUGACUUGUAAGGCUAGAGUUAGCCAAGUGUAACUGUAACAUGUAUCACUUCUAUAUCUAACACCAUAAGCCUACCUCAUCUUCACCAACUUUCUUGAGCCAUAAAUGAAACUUCUAAAAUUAUGUAGUGGAAUUUUGGAUAAAUACUUUUAGAGUAGCAGUGGAUUGUUUUAAUCCCAAAAAAAAAAAAAAACUUUUAAUCAAUACAAGAACUUAUGUUGAGGAGAAACCUAUGUAAACUUUUAUACUUGAGGGGUAUAACUUUUCUAGCUUCUUAGGAAGAUUGAGGGGUUACUUUAGUGCUCCUCUUGUCAUGUUUAUGAUUUAUCUAAUUCCUGAUUUUUUCAAAAAAAAUAAAUAAAUAAAAGAGUAAGACUCAAAUAUGGCCUUGUACACAACAAUUGAAAGAUACGAUGUGAUCUAAAAUACACAUUGAUGAAACAUGUUUAAAAUGUGCAGCUGAAAUAGGUGAAAUAUUUGCCAACUAUAAAAGCCUCGAUAUACUUAUCUCUCAACAACCAGAAACACCUGCAAAAAGUUUAAGAAGGAUGGACAUGUGUGGAGCAAAAAGAAGGAUGGAAAGACUAUUCAGGAAUCUCAUGUCAACCUCAAGGCCCAAAGAAGAGAAACCCUGACGAAAUCCAGAUGCAGCAAAGGGAGAAAAUGGACCUGGGAUGUACAUGCCAGCGGCUCUAAAUAAUGAUACACAACCUAAGACUGGGAUGGAAAUAGGGGCGGUUAUGAGAAUUAAAAUGGGAGUGGGAGAGCAUUGCUGUGUAGAAAGAAUCAUGUAGAAAAAUUUGUAUUGAGAGUUUAUUUUUGGGGGGAGUACUGGCCUCUCAUAUUAGCUAGCUUAGUAUUUUCAUCUUCGUAUUGGAGUGUGUUUUUUCUGAAGCAGUUUCUAGUUUAUUCCUAUUGACAGCAUUGUAAUGAAAUGAAUUGAGGAGUGAUUGAAUAUUUCAUUGAUAAAUGAAAGAAACAUUUUCUGAU